rnacentral:rRNA from 1 species
ACUCCUACGGGAGGCAGCAGUGGGGAAUAUUGCACAAUGGGGGAAACCCUGAUGCAGCCAUGCCGCGUGUGUGAAGAAGGCCUUCGGGUUGUAAAGCACUUUCAGUAGGGAGGAAGGUAGUGUAGUUAACACCUGCAUUAUUUGUACGUUACCUACAGAAGAAGCACCGGCUAACUCCGUGCCAGCAGCCGCGGUAAUACGGAGGGUGCGAGCGUUAAUCGGAAUUACUGGGCGUAAAGCGCAUGCAGGCGGCCUGUUAAGUCAGAUGUGAAAGCCCGGGGCUUAACCUCGGAAUUGCAUUUGAAACUGGCAGGCUAGAGUCUUGUAGAGGGGUUAGAAUUUCAGGUGUAGCGGUGAAAUGCGUAGAGAUCUGAAGGAAUACCAGUGGCGAAGGCGGCCCCUGGAC